rnacentral:rRNA from 1 species
CCUACGUGAGGCAGCAGUGAGGAAUAUUGGUCAAUGGGCGCGAGCCUGAACCAGCCAAGUAGCGUGAAGGAUUACUGCCCUACGGGUUGUAAACUUCUUUUAUAAAGGAAUAAAGUGAGGCACGUGUGCCUUUUUGUAUGUACUUUAUGAAUAAGGAUCGGCUAACUCCGUGCCAGCAGCCGCGGUAAUACGGAGGAUCCGAGCGUUAUCCGGAUUUAUUGGGUUUAAAGGGAGCGUAGAUGGGUUGUUAAGUCAGUUGUGAAAGUUUGCGGCUCAACCGUAAAAUUGCAAUUGAUACUGGCAGUCUUGAGUACAGUUGAGGUAGGCGGAAUUCGUGGUGUAGCGGUGAAAUGCUUAGAUAUCACGAAGAACUCCGAUUGCGAAGGCAGCUUACUAAACUGCCACUGACAUUGAUGCUCGAAAGUGUGGGUAUCAAACAGGAGUAGAUACCCCAGUAGUC